rnacentral:tRNA from 1 species
AGUGGUUUAAGUUAAUACAAACUAAUAGCCUUCAAAGCUAUAAUUGAUCUACAAUCAACCUCUA